rnacentral:lncRNA from 1 species
AAGGGAGGCCAGGCUAAUCGAGGAAGCGGGGAAAAGCGUGGUCAUUGUGAACGUCCGACGCUGUCUCUAGGGGUGAGAAACCUGGAAAUGAGCCUGAAGAGGUGAAGCUGCAGAAUGCCAGCAAACAGAUUGUGCAGAAUGCAAUCCUGCAAGCUGUGCAGCAAGUCUCCCAGGAGAGUCAGCGCAGAGAAGAGAGAAUCAGUGACAACCGGGACCACAUCCAACUGGCCGUUGGGGAGUUAACCAAGAAGAACGAAAAGAAGUAACAUGGUGGAUUUGGCUCUUGACAUGUGCUUGGUUUCUAGCCUUCCUCUUAGUAUAGGACGCAUCUCCAAAAUGUUGCCAGUAAAGCAAACCGAAGUGUCACCGGCACCUAGCUGUAGAAUGAAUUCGCACUAGCCCCUGGCUGAGAAGCACUGUUUUGAAAAAGUGCAUUAGACGAUUCUGUUCAUAUUUAUGCAGUGCCUCUGAGACAUAGUGGGGCCAAAUAUGACACUGUAAUUGCAAAAGUAGUUUUGCAGGCCAAUUUAUUUUUAAAGUUCUUUUAUUUGAAAAAAAGAAUUCUAUGUCUCGUUUAUUUACUUCUGCCUUUUAUGCGUUCCUUCUGUGAAUUUAACAAGCAGCCUUUUUGCUGAAAUACUGAAUACAGUACUGAGUUCUUUAUGAUAUAUUAAAAAGACAUGCUAGAAAGGUGAGGGAAUGGAGUUUUAGUUACCUUCAAAUGUGAAAUUGAAGGCUUUAAGUGGGUUCAGGUCUAAGAUCAAAUUAAGAAAAGGGAAAUUCUAAGGCUGAGUCCCUCGGGACCAUACCAACGCAUUUGCUAAUAUUUAUGUUAUUUUAAGAAAGGGAGGAGUUUAAGUUUCUCAAGAACUCAGUCCUUUAGUCUCAAUUCUCUGAAUGAUUUCAUAAUUGGUGUUUAUGCUCUGUGUAGAAAUCUCUUGGGAAUAUUAUGGAUUUCUUUUCUCAUCUCAAGAUUAAAUAAAAUAAGACAAGCGAGUCUACACAUGUGAGUUGCCAAUGACUCAUUUCCUUAGCAGCCUCAUGGAGAAUGGCUAGAAUUGUAGAUUUCUUCAACAGCUGCCUAUCGUUAAGAGACUUACACUUGGGGCUGAUCAUGGGGUGCAACAUCCUUGGAAGGGAUUCUGGGGUCCUUACGAAUGCUGUUUUGCCACUAGGCUAUGCAUUUGCAUUAGGACCUUACUAACUUUUCCCAUCCACACAUUAAUUUUUUUUUUGAGAUUAUGAAAAUCAUACAGGUCAGGAAUACAUGAGAACACAAUGGGGACAGUAAAGUGACAGUGUUUUGAAUGCAGUGACAGAGAUAUGUGUGCGUACACGUGUAAUAAAGUUAUCUGUGCAGCAACAGGAUCAAUCCCUGCUCCACUUCUGUGAGGAUAAUGCACAUAUUUCUGGAGUAUCUACAGUCCCAUUUCCUGGGCUUCACAAAAGUUAUUGAAUUGGCGCUAUUGGGGACAGAGGAAGAAUUUGACCUUGGUUAAAAACCUUCUGGUUUCAGAGUAUCAAUAUCUACAUUUGAUUUUUUUUUAAAGCAAAGUAUUCGGGUAUAAAUUGUGACUGAUAUUAAGAUAUACUUCUAAAAUUCCAAUAUGCUACAGUUUCUAGAAUAAAUAGUUGGAUAAUAGAUAAUGAAUGAAAAAUAUCUUACCAGCUUUGUUAUGCUGUCUCCCACAGUGCACAGGUGGAAUAAAUUCACAGGAAACAUGGAAGGAGAAGGAAGCAGAAGGGCUUAAAAUUUAAAGAUUGUUUACUCACAAGUAUUUCUUUUAGCAGAAUUCAUGCCAAGUGAAGAGUGAGUUUAAGUCGACCAAAAGUCAUAUAACUGAUGUGAUAUAAUUGCAUAGCAUACAUAGUGAGAAUGAAGGUAUUCAGGGAAAUUAUUCAGGAGUGCCACAAAUAAAAUAAAUAAAUAAAUCUAAUGCUUGUAGUUUGUAAGUGAUCUGGUACUAUGUCUACUCAGAUAUCUGGAUAUGACCAGCCUUUGUUUUUGCUGUCAAGUGACAGAAACAUAUACACAUACUAUUUUUCCUCUCUGAUGUGUCUGUACUAAAAAAU